rnacentral:rRNA from 1 species
GCGGCGGAUGGGUGAGUAACACGUGGGCAACCUGCUUGUAAGACUGGGAUAACUCGCGGAAACGCGAGCUAAUACCGGAUAACAUUUCGGAUCGCAUGAUCCGGAAUGGAAAGAUGGCUUCGGCUAUCACUUACAGAUGGGCCCGCGGCGCAUUAGCUAGUUGGUGGGGUAAAGGCCCACCAAGGCAACGAUGCGUAGCCGACCUGAGAGGGUGAUCGGCCACACUGGGACUGAGACACGGCCCAGACUCCUACGGGAGGCAGCAGUAGGGAAUCUUCCGCAAUGGACGAAAGUCUGACGGAGCAACGCCGCGUGAGUGAUGAAGGUCUUCGGAUCGUAAAACUCUGUUGUCAGGGAAGAACAAGUGCCGUUUGAAUAAGGCGGCACCUUGACGGUACCUGACCAGAAAGCCACGGCUAACUACGUGCCAGCAGCCGCGGUAAUACGUAGGUGGCAAGCGUUGUCCGGAAUUAUUGGGCGUAAAGCGCUCGCAGGCGGUUCCUUAAGUCUGAUGUGAAAUCUUGCA